UUGGCAAGAUAGAUGUCAUUCAGGUUAUUUUUGAGGUUAAUUUCGUUUUGUAUUGAAUACGGCUUGAUAAAUUUGCCAUAUACUCUUCGAUAGAAUACUAAAUUAUUUAUUGAUUUGACCUACUUAAACAUGAAUAGUAUAGGCGAAGAGUGUACCGACUUGAAGAAAAAAUAUGACGACUGCUUCAAUAGUUGGUUUUCAGAGAGAUUUUUAAAAGGCGAUCAUGAUGAUUCUGUGUGUUCUAGUAUUUUUAAGGUUUAUCAAGAUUGCGUAAAGAACGCUAUGAAACAGCAAAAUAUUGACUUUAAGGAAAUUGAUAAAGACGUUCUGGGCACUGAUAAUGAAUUCAAAGUACCACCAACGGAAAACAGUUGACACAAAUACAGUGUUAUGUGCACUUUCACCCCAAUAAUGAAUUGCAUCUUUAAAAACGGGGAUAUUUUUAAGUGUCAAGAGUAAACAGUGUACUAAUUUAACAGAAAAAAUACAAAGUAAUUGUUGAUGAAAUGUUUAUUUUGUUUUAAAGGUUGUAAAAAUAUGUCUUAGUUAGGCUUUGAAUGUUACUACAAAAGUGUAGAUUAUUAUUUUAAAAGGAUAGUUGCUCUGCUUUUAUUAUUAGAAUUAGUUCUGAAGCAUAUACAUUAGUUAUUUGCAAUUAAACAUUUAGUAGACAAAAUUAUAAUGAAUUGUUGUUUUUUACAACACUCCGGGGCUAAAUCAUUCCAUUUUAUUAAUAUAAAAGUGAUGCACUAAUAUCUAUGUACCAUCUUUGUAAUAAAUGUUACUGGUUUGUUCCUGCUUUACAUAUGUAAUAAUGUACAUUUGAUAAUUUGUAAUUGUCAGCUAAAGCUUUGAAAUGUGUUGUGGUAGUAAAUGAUUAUUAGCCAA